ensembl:snRNA U1 U1 spliceosomal RNA
ACACAUACGUGGCAGGGGAGAUACCAUGAUCACAAAGUGGUUUUCCCAGGGCGAGGCUUAUCCAUUGCACUCCGGAUGUGCCGACCCCUGCAAUUUCCCCAAAUGUGGGAAACUCGACUGCAUAAUUUGUGGUAGUGGGGGACUGCAUUUGCGCACACACACA